AGGGAAUUGUUGCAAGACCAAGUUUAUAUCCGAUAAUUCUAGUACUUGGGGAGACCUAGGGGAGUAAUUAUAUUAGAAGGCCCUUUUUAUCCUGGUAUCAGGGUGGAAAUAGAUUAUGCCAAUUUUUCCUAUAGAGCUGGCAUCCAUGAACACCAAGGGCACACCAGGAACAGACUGGCCCACUAUUAUCUUUGGUUGCUUGAGAGGCACAAGGGAAAUGGUUUGUAGGAUUCUUGACAGAGGCAUAUGAUAGUCAAGGACCUCAGUGAAAUUAGCCAUGGCCACUUGGAAAUUAAGGCUAAGCAUAAUGAGAUUAUUCACCUCUGAAGUUGUGAGAGGAAUUAUGAGCCUAUCUGGUUUUUCCUCCAGUGCUUGCAGUAGGAACCUUCUCAAUGAGGCAAUCAUUUGUGAGAUGCCUUCCACUUGACUUUGGACUUUCUUUUGCACCCAUGAUAUGAUAUUGUCUGGCUCCUGCCAGAUGACUCCAGUAGGAAUCCCAAGAAUUAGGCAUACUAUUGCUCAGACAUCCUUCUUAGGGUCAUAGCUUUUUACCUCCAUGUUGCUUAGGGAUGUAUUAACCAAUUCCAAAGCCUCAAGAGCUUCUGGGGUAACCUGUUGGGGGGAGUUUAAAUGUGGGUCUCCCUUUAGCAAAUUAAAUAAGGGCCUCAUUUGUUGAGUAGUGAUCUUUAAAGAAGGUCUAAGCCAAUUCAGAUGCCCCAGGAUAGUCUGCAAUUGGUUCAAGGUAGGCUUUUCAGGAAAAGUGAUAUGAGGAACCAUAUGCAUAACUGCUCUUGGCAGGAUGCAAUGUCCUAAAAAUUUAAAAGGGGUUCCUUUUGGAUCUUUUCCAGGGCAAUAGUCAAUCCUAAUUCAUUGAGGUUGUCAAUCGAAGCUGUGAAAGCCUGUUGUAAUAUAGCCUCUUUCUCAUGUUCUAAGAAAAGGUCAUCCAUGUAGUAUACCACAACAAGACCUUUAUAUUGUUCAAGGCCUCUGACAAAUAGUGGGGCUGUUUUUCAUUCCUUAUCCACUGAAAAUGUUGUGCAGGCACCGAGUUGCUAAUGACAGGUACCAUAAACACAAAAUGUUGUCUAUCAGAUGGAUGCAGUGGAAUGGAGAAGAAACAGUCCUUUAUGUCUGCUAUGCAAAUUUUAUAGCCUUUAGAACACAUUGGGUCAAUGGAUGCCGGAGCUGAGUGGUGCCCAUCUUUUGCAUAGUCUCAUUUAUGGCCCAUAAAUCCUGAAGUAAUCUCCAUUUGCCUUUUGCCUUUUUUUAAAUAUAAAAGAUGAGGGCAUUCCAUGGACUAUUAGAGAGCUCAAUAUGCCCAAAAGCCAAUUCUCUUUUUACCAAUUCCUGGAUAUGCUGUAACUUUUCUUGGGAAAGUGGACACUGUUCAACUCAUACUGGUCCAUCAGAGAGCCAUUGCAACCAUAUGGGGAAAGAUGCUAUAAUAUAAACAGUGGCCUUUAAUAUUGGGGGGCAUGUGAAAUCCCCCUCUUAAGUUUGGAUCUUUUAAAUCUGUGUCCAUUAUGUUAUCAUAGAAGGCCUGGUCAUCAGUAGUGAGCACUGCUCCCACAGAGCCCAAGAUCUCUGCCAAAUAGGUUGUUAGGUAUUCCUUCCACCACUAGAGGGCAGACGGUCCCUUGGUUGCCAUCCCUGUCUUCCCAUGUCCAGCCCUGCUCUGCCUGCCAAGAGGAGGUUAGUCCUCCAAUACCUGUAACAUUGGACCCUGGUUUAGUGGCCCAUGACUUGGUACCUCCUCUAACCUCAGCAACAAUAAGUCAGCCCCUGUGUCCAUCAACCUCUUGAAAAUGUUCUAUUUAUCUUUAGCAUUGCCCUGAGUUUGUUGUUCUCACUAAUAGGAAUUGUGCACCAUAUUCCAGGACACCUUAUAUCCAUUUGAUUAGUUGUUUGUCUUUGUUUUUGUUUCCUUCUGUUUGGACCCUCCCUUGGUCAUGGGGCUAGGAGUUGCCCCAAGAGGCAUUUAAAGGCUUUCCUGCACAGUCUUGGCUUGACGGACCAGUCUCUAGCCCAGUGCCAUUUCUUCUUACACUGUGGGCAGAGACCCGGUUUGUCCCCUCCUCUCUGAGAAGGGCAAUCUCAAGAGAGAUGCCUUUUUCCUCCACAGCUCCACCACCCAUCUGCUCUAUUUUGGUGAUUCAUGGACAGAGCUGAGAAUACCAAGGGCAUUAACAUGGCCUGUUGGCCUUGUGUCCCUAAAUCUUGAGUGGCCCAAAUCCAGUCAUCCAGUGUGCCAUUGUGUACUGGCACCACUGCUGCUCUAUGUUCCUUAUUUAGUCUGUCCCAGAUCAACUCCUUGGCUAAGGCAGCCCUAGCUUCUUCAUGAGACACCUUCCCUUCUACCACCUUGUUUACUCUGUCAAUAAACUGUGGCAUGUCCUCAGUGGCUUUUUGCCUUAAGCCCUGUAUAGAAACUGUACUUCUCCAGCUGGCAACUUCCUCCAGGCUCUCAGAGCACAGAGCCACACUUGAUAAAAAUAAUUUGAUGGACCUGUAGCCUGUACCACAGGGGAACUGUAGAUUCCCUCUCCCUGCAAGCAUGCAUCUGGGAGGUUAAUAUUUGUGGUGUGGUUAGGAUCCCUCUACUGUUCACAUUCAUCAUAGAAGAAUGCCUUCCACUUCAAAAAUGUCACACUCAAUAGUUGCUCUGGCUAGGUCUUUCCAGUCUUGGGGGCAAUUAAGCUCCAGACUGAGUGAUUCGAGCAUUUGCUCUGCAAAUGGCCUCUGGGUCCCAUCCUCUUUUACUGCCUUCUUUAACUCUUUCAGGGUACCCAAUGUGUGUGGAUACCAAAUAGCUAGGCUCUGUGGUGUGGGGCCGUGUUGACUAGGAAGGCUUUCACUCCCUUAC
rnacentral:lncRNA from 1 species